rnacentral:rRNA from 1 species
CACGUAGGGGGCGAGCGUUGUCCGGAAUUACUGGGCGUAAAGGGCGCGUAGGCGGCCUUCUAAGUCAGACGUGAAAUCCCCCGGCUUAACCUGGGAACUGCGUCUGAUACUGGGAGGCUUGAGUAUGGGAGAGGGAUGUAGAAUUCCAGGUGUAGCGGUGAAAUGCGUAGAUAUCUGGAGGAAUACCGGUGGCGAAGGCGGCAUCCUGGACCAUAACUGACGCUGAGGCGCGAAAGCUAGGGGAGCAAACGGG